rnacentral:rRNA from 1 species
UACGUAGGGUGCAAGCGUUAAUCGGAAUUACUGGGCGUAAAGCGUGCGCAGGCGGUUCGCUAAGACAGAUGUGAAAUCCCCGGGCUUAACCUGGGAACUGCGGUUGUGACUGCAAGACUGGAGUGUGGCAGAGGGGGGUGGAAUUCCACGUGUAGCAGUGAAAUGCGUAGAUAUGCGGAGGAACACCGAUGGCGAAGGCAAUCCCCUGGACCUGUACUGACGCUCAUGCACGAAAGCGUGGGGAGCAAACAGG